rnacentral:sRNA from 1 species
ACCAAAACCCGAUUAAAGCGGAAAUACUUUUUUUCUAGCCGAUAAUUAUGGUGUCAUGCUGAGCUUUUCAAAGCAUUGUGUGCGAUGAAAUAUGCUUCGACAAGCUCAGCAUGACAAGGAGUUUAAAAAGAUUACAGCGAAAAGCGGGACUUUCG